CCUACGGGGGGCAGCAGUGAGGAAUAUUGGUCAAUGGACGAGAGACUGAACCAGCCAAGUAGCGUGCAGGAUGACUGCCCUAUGGGUUGUAAACUUCUUUUAUACGGGGAUAAAACACGGUACGCAUACUGUCUUGUAUGUACCACAUGAAUAAGGACCGGCUAACUCCGUGCCAGCAGCCGCGGUAAUACGGAGGGUCCGAGCGUUAUCCGGAUUUAUUGGGUUUAAAGGGAGCGUAGGUGGAUUGUUAAGUGAGAUGUGAAAGGUUGCGGCUCAACCGUAGAAUUGCAGUUGAAACUGGCAGUCUUGAGUACGGGGGAGGUGGGCGGAAUUCGUGGUGUAGCGGUGAAAUGCUUAGAUAUCACGAAGAACUCCGAUUGCGAAGGCAGCUCACUGGACUGCAACUGACACUGAUGCUCGAAGGUGUGGGUAUCGAACAGGAUUAGAUACCCCGGUAGUC
rnacentral:rRNA from 1 species